AGGAUAAUAGUUAAAAAUAACAUUUAAUUUGCAUUUAAAAAGUACUGAAAAACAGUUUAUCUUU
rnacentral:tRNA from 1 species